UACGUAGGGGGCUAGCGUUGUCCGGAAUCAUUGGGCGUAAAGAGCGUGUAGGCGGCUCGGUAAGUCCGCUGUGAAAGUCCAGGGCUCAACCCUGGAAUGCCAGUGGAAACUGGCGAGCUAGAGUCCGGAAGAGGCGAGUGGAAUUCCUGGUGUAGCGGUGAAAUGCGCAGAUAUCAGGAGGAACACCAAUGGCGAAGGCAGCUCGCUGGGACGGUACUGACGCUGAGACGCGAAAGCGUGGGGAGCAAACAGG
rnacentral:rRNA from 1 species